UAAAUAUGUAGGAAGGGGCAGGAGCGAAUUUGAGAGUGGAAGGAAAAGAGAAGAAAAACUGAGAAAGCUCCGGGCCUCAGUCGGUUUCCGUCCGUUUUAGCCUUUUAGGGUUCUUAAUUCUCGUCCUUCCUGCGAUCGAAAGUUUAAAGAACCCUGCAAACCAUUUUAAGUUUCGUAGUCAUACCGACUUGAGAGAGUUGCUGGAAAGAGUGAGCCUGCGGAAGAAGAACACAUUGAUGGAUGUUAUCAAGAGACAGCAGAUCACGGCAAGGCUGAUUGAGAAGGUCAUAGUUCACCCUCUCGUUCUUAUCAGUAUAGUCGAUAAUUACAACAGAGUCGUUAGGGACAGUCGGAGCGAGUUAUUGUUGUCCUGAUCGGGAGCAUCUUGAAAGGAACUGUUGAUGUCACCAACAGCUAUGCAGUGCCUUUGAAGAAGAUAAGGACCGAAGCAUCUGGUUUCUUGACCACAACUAACCAUGAAGCAAAUGUUUUCUGUCCAAGAGAAUAAAUGACAAGGAGCAUGUUGUUGGUUGGUAUAGUAAAGGCCCAAAACUGCGGGAAAAUGACUUGGAUAUUCACAGAUUAUUCCAUGAGCAUAAUGUUAUUAAAAGAGACUAGGCCCCCUUUAUAUGGUUACGUACCAUUCUCACCAUUAGAGAAGUGCAUUGAGAAAAUACUAAGGGGAGAAAUCUAUCUGCAUUGAAGAAGGAAUAAGAUUGCUCAUUCGUACAAGGAUGCCGUCAAUGGCUGCGUCGAGUUCCGCUGGAAACAACAUGUCAUCGACUAUGAAUGGUGUGUCGUUUCCCCUUUUUGUAUUGAAACGAUUCAUGGGGUAUUGACAAGAUCUUUAUUAUGGUUUAGGAAUUAUGAUCCUAUAAAUUCCAUCACCAAGUUCCAAUUUCAAUUAUGGUAUAGUUUACACACCUUCAUGUUAUCGUUUUCACGCCUUUUAAAAAUUGAUUAAUAGGUUACAAGUGAAAAAGAGGGGUAAUCUAUGCAUGUAAAAGAGCAAGGGAGAAGAUGUAAAAGUCCAAAAGCAGAGAAGUAUCAGAAAAAAAGUUUUGAGGUACGGUAGUUUUCCCUAAAUUUAAUUUCACUGAUAAGUCUCUUUAAAAAGGAUAUAUCUUUUUUUUUUUUUGGAUAAACGAGAAUUUCAUUCAAUUAAAACUAAGAAUUACAAGGCAGAUAUAGGUAUGAAAAACACAAGGCUUAGGUACAAAAUAUCGAAAGCCCAGGAAUGGAAUGCGACCAAACUGCUUGACAUGCCAAAGAUAGUGGUCUUUCAGGGUAGGGAAUGGUCGAAAGCAAAAGAUUCCCUAACAAACUUACCAUAAAAACAGCACCAAUCAUAUACAAUAUCCUUCAUCACGAUGAUAGGUUUAUCCAAAGUGGCCAAUAGCGUCGCGCAUGCCAGACACAGUAUCACAAUAUGCAUACAAUCCAACGCAAGACCAAUAAUUGACAAAGCUCACCAACACCCUAUACUUCCUGAACGUGGUGGCCAACACCAAGUCAGCCAAAUUGCUAUAGACACAGCUUAUUGGACAUUAAAUUACACAAUCGAUUACAGGACCCAGAUCUUGGGUAGAAUAAAAAGAACAAGGGGCAUGGCAGAUAGAACCCCAUAUGGAAUGAUGGGUGACAACUUGUCUAGGCCCCACAUUCCAUAGAAGUCCAUGUACCAAAUCACAUGAUCGUGGCGUUGAUACUCCGAUCCAGAAUGGUCGGGGUAUGACCACCAACUCCACUACCAACAAAGUCUCCACCGACAAAUCCACUUCUGGUUUCGGCUCCAAUGCAAACUCUAUCACCCAAUUUCUGAGCACUUCAAUGUUGGCCACCGAUGCCCUGGGGCCGAGAUUAGUCAAGUCCCCAAUUGUGGGUGUUUGUGUUGACCCCAAAUCUGCCUCGGAUGGAAAAACCACGGUUCCAACAACAGCUCCAACGAUGAGAACUGAGAUUGCAACAGCAGCAACAGAUCCCACACCAGUUGUUCUAGCAUCAGCGAUGCCGAGGAAAAAGCAAAAAGGCCGGAGAAAACAUGGCUAUUGUGACAACAGCCCAAAUGGGUAACAAGAAAGACCUUAAAUCAACGAUCUCCAUGUUCCUCUUCAAGUCCCUUAAUGGACGCACCUCUCCCAUAUCCCUCCUCCCCUGCUUACCGGCAACAAUGAACUAGCCUGGAAGCAUCUCUUGGAUCCGAGUGCCUUUGAACGAGGAGCCAGAAAAAGAGCCAACGAGCAACAGAUCGGAUGAUCUCUUCCUCUCUCUCGAAGUCCCAGCAAGUCUGAUAAUCGUCACGGUAACUGAUUCGGAAACACAGUUAGGGCGUAAGGCUGCGGUGAAUAGCGCUCGAGAUGCAUCACCGUUGUUGUCAUCAACCACUUCGUCGCCAUUGUCUAUUAGACUGCAAGUCAUGGCAAACCCUCUUAUAGGAUAAGACGUGCACAAGGGCGGAAACAACCAACAUGCACAAAAACGGAAACUACACGCACGAAAAAAUGGAAAAUCACACAGCGGCUGAAAAAAAGCUAGAGCGGAGUAUGGUCUGUGUCGUCGCCUUUCACAUACGGAGGAGGGGGUCCGAGAGUGUUAUGUCAUUUAUGAGCAUAUUUUGCAUUUUUGUCCUUAAUUGUCAUGUGCUCUGUACAUAUCUUGAUUAGGAAGAGAUUGACAAACAAAUUCUUAACCAAUCCUUUCCACCCAAGAAAAAAGCAAGAGAGGAUUGUAGAACAAGUUUCAUUCUUAACCUUUUAGGUUUCGCUUACGCAAGCCAUGGUUAAGCUCAUGACGUAUGCAAGGGUAGUGUAGUAAUUUUAGCCAAUAGCACUAGUUACAUCUUCCUAUGAAAACCAGCCGGUCUUCUAUUUCUUUCCUGGCUUACAACACAUCAUCUGAUAUGCAAGAUAUUGAUAGCUAGAUCUCUAGAGAUAGGAGUUCAGAAUCCAAGGCAAUACUUUGUCAUUGCAUAUCUUUCAUUCUUUCCCACAAAAGAUUUGAUCUGAGGCAUUCGUUCUCGUAGUUUCCCUUGAACAAAACAAAGUUUACUGUUCAUAGGCAAGAAGGUUAUACACAUCAACUAUACUUCCAUGAUUAAUAAUUUUCUUCAUUUAGUGGGGGCAGAAACCAGAUUAAUACCUGGGUUAUCUGAUGGAUGUAAAUAGAAGGAUAAGGAGGAAGGGUGGUACGAGAGCCCCCGCAUCCCUUCGAUCCACAGGAUAUUGUAAAGAGGCAUCUCUUGUAUGUCUCUCUCAUGAAUAUUUCCAUGUGUAGUGUCAUCUUAUUCUGCCUACGUGAGGGGAGUUGUUGGGAUUUAUAGGUUAUAUAAUAAUCCCAAAAUGAUAGUAUUGGGCCCCACUAGAACAAUAUUCAAAGCGAAGAUCUUUGACCAAAAGAGAAAUCAAAGUAUAACUCUCCUAUUCUUUCACUGCUCGCAAGGCAAGAACAAUUAAAGAUUACGAGGGAACAUGAGUCAACAAUAAGCCUGCUUAUCUUUUGAUGCAAGGGUUUCCUUGGGGACUACCGAUCAUGAUUCUUUAGAAGCUCCUUAUGAAUACCUACGAUAUAUCUUUCAAUCAAUUCAUCAAACAUUUUAUGUUGUUUGGGUCUCUGUGUGAGUCUCUGUGUGUAUGUGUUGCUGUGUGAGCGAGAGAGCUUGUGAUAAACCAUGGAUCAUAGGCUUUACUGGGCUGCAAGAAAUGGUGAUACUGGGCUGCUAAACCAACGCGAGAUCCCUGAUUUAGAUCAGCAAACAACGGAGCCCACAUCGAACACAGCCCUUCAUAUUGCUGUGUACCAUGGACCAGAGCAGUUUGUGCAAGAGCUCUGCAGACUGUCCAUCUCUCCUUACACAGGAAAACUCCCAGGGCAACACUCCGCUGCUCGUUGUGGCGAAGACUGGAAAUCACGGUAUAGCUCGUAUUCUUAUCUCAAAUUUACAUGCUAAUAUUGAUAGUGCAGGUGCAGCUGAGAAGCUGAGAUUGAGAAACAAGGAAAAUUAUAUGCCCUUGCAUGAGGCUAUUCAAAACAAUAGUCUUAAAGUCGCAAAGUUGCUGACUGAGACUGACCCUGGUUGGCCAUAUUAUGACAACAACGAUGAAUGCUGCCGCCGCAGCCGCCAAGGCCGAUGAGUCGUCUUUGCUAUACUUGGCUGCUCUAACAGGAGGGUUAGAAAUGGUAAAGCUGAUCCUACAACACCCAGCAGCUUAUGAUGGACCCAAAGGCGAGAAAGCCUUGUAUGUGGCUGCGCACUGGAUCAUUUUGCCAGUGGUAAGUUCAUGUAUGAAGCUGGCAAUCUGGAGGAAUCUAAUCAGAAAUCCAGCCGAUUUUGGACAGAUUGGUCAAUCUUGAGUUGCUUUCCUGCUAGCCAGGGCUCCCAGCCAAAGAAAUGGAAUCUCAAAGAGCAUAUUGAAAAAUACAAAAAUCUAAGAAAGUAUUUGUGGGAAGUGAAUUAUUCCAUUUCUUUGGCUACAUGCCCAGGAAUUGUAGAAGCAUUUAUAGACAAAAAUAUACAACUCAUAGGGGCAGGCGAAAAUUGAAAAAAUCCUCUCCACUAUGCAGCAAUUUAUGGGAACCAUUGGAUAGUAGAGAAGUUGAUAUCGAAAUACCCAUGCAGUGCCUAUAGUUUGGACAAACAUGGUCGUUCCCCACUUCACAUUGCAGUCAGUAAAUCCCACCUUAAAGUAGUUGGAGAGCUGAUCAAACAUUGCCCAGAUUGUAUGGAGAAGCUAAACUAGAAAGUCCAUUCUUCGUUUUGUAGAGAGUAGAAGUUUAGUAAUGGUGAUCUAUGUUGUGGAUAUAUUGGGUCUCGGAACAUUGAUGAACCAGCAACAAUGGGAAUAUCCCUUUCCUUCUAGCUGCCAAACUCGUUACUUACAGGAUCUUUUUCUAUUUUGCUUUCAAUUCGAAGCAACGUUAUAAGGCAGUGAACAAGGAACAGCUGACAGCCUUUCAUUUUCUUGACAAGCAGCAUUUCCGCUCGACAUUUUCCUUGGUAUGUUACCGAGAACCCCCCUUGUCAUGGUUCUUUUGUUUUAUUUUGUUCAAAACUUAAUAACUGUCAUUCUAAUCCUAUGUUAAGAUGUAUAAAUAGAUACAGGUAAAAUUUUUACUGAAGAAAUUAGGUGUUAAAUAGUCAGUUUGGUUCGGUUUGAAUUGGUUUCUGA